GGAGUGAUGGCCGAGUGGUCGAAGGCGCUUCCCUGCUAAGGAAGUAUACGGGAAACCGUAUCGAGGGUUCGAAUCCCUCUCACUCCGCCA
rnacentral:tRNA from 1 species